rnacentral:lncRNA from 1 species
GGAAGUCUACGAAGAGCGAAUUGCAAGCUAUUGGAAGAUCUUCCAGUCACAUAAAGAAUAUUAUUGCCAAAAUCCUCUUGCUCAAAAGCUCCUCACGCUGCAGGCUGAAAAAGAGGAGAUUGAGUCAAGGUUAAAGGCCUGUGAUGAUCAGAUAACAGUGAAACAGAAGGAGCUAGAGCUUCUCACUGGUCCAGCAGUCAAUUCUUCUUCCACUGAGAAACUACCAGACAGGUAUCUUUCAGUGAAUCUUUCAAAUAGCAAAUACUGAUGACAUAGCCUCGAGCAAAGCUUAGUUUUUCUCUGAUUGAGUCCACUUUUCUUCCUAGCGUUUCUGGCCAGCAGCCCAUAACAGAACCAGAGAAACAAUUAGAUACUCCUUCAGAGGAGAACAGUGAUUGUUCCAUUGACAUCUCCUCUCUUCAUCUCACCCAGACAAAGGUACUCUGAUAUGUCAAUAAAUAAUAGUGAUAGUGUAAAGCUGAGGAAAUUCUAGCUACUACAAAUUGUUAAAGUUAAAGCUGAUUCUGUCAUGACCACUAACAGUUAAACCUUAAUAGAUCUCGCAGAAUGGUCACAACACUUCUGUCAAGGAAAAUGCAGAAGAAAUUCAUGAGGAAAACAAGGACCAGAAUACUGUGGUCUGCAGCCCUUUACCAGAAAAAGCAAGCAACGGGCGUUGGUCCAGUCAGCAGUUUGAUGAUAAAAGACGGCAAGAUGUGAUGCACACUGAAGAGCAGGACCAGGAAACUAAACCAGAGGACCAGGUCUUGGAACAGCAGCCAGUUGUAUCAGACAUGGAUGAGGCAAUGGAGCAGGAGGAAAUGGAAGUAAGAGCAGUUAUAGAGGAAGAGCAGGCAGCAACCAAAGACGACAGGAUCGGUCUUGAUGCUUUUCCUCAGUCAUCGUCUCAAGAAACUAAUCCUGAGUCUUCCACAGCAACACUGAAUACUGUGCCUACAACCCCAACGUUCCCGUUUAACUACAGCCCAGGCAGCUCCCCACAUCGAGGGACCUCUGAUACCAAAUCUCCAGCUUUCCUGUUCUCUCUGAACUCUGAUCCUGGCACCCCGGGCUUCUCUGGAUUUGGAUUUGACGUGGGCUCAUCGCAGGAUGAGGUGAGGAGUAAGCAAAAGGAAUAA